CGUGCAGGCGGCUUGGUAGGUUGGACGUGAAAUCUCCCGGCUCAACUGGGAGAGGCCGUUCAAUACCGCCAGGCUUGAGGGCGGAAGAGGGGAGUGGAAUUCCCGGUGUAGUGGUGGAAUGCGUAGAUAUCGGGAGGAACACCUGUGGCGAAGGCGGCUCCCUGGUCCGCACCUGACGCUAAGACGCGAAAGCGUGGGGAGCGAACG
rnacentral:rRNA from 1 species